rnacentral:rRNA from 1 species
UACGGAGGGUGCAAGCGUUGUUCGGAUUUACUGGGCGUAAAGCGCACGUAGGCGGAUUUGUAAGUCAGGGGUGAAAUCCCGGGGCUCAACCUCGGAACUGCCUUUGAUACUGCAAAUCUCGAGUCCGGAAGAGGUGAGUGGAAUUCCUAGUGUAGAGGUGAAAUUCGUAGAUAUUAGGAAGAACACCAGUGGCGAAGGCGGCUCACUGGUCCGGUACUGACGCUGAGGUGCGAAAGCGUGGGGAGCAAACAGG